GAAACUUCUGGGCAUCGCUAUGGAACUUUUUCUGCUGUGCAGUGAUGACGCAGAGUCAGAUGUCAGGAUGGUGGCUGACGAAUGCCUCAACAAAGUUAUCAAAGUUAACCCACAAGUUUUACGAAGACCAUCUCAGUCCACUUACAUCAACUGCCCAUGCCACGGUUAAAGAGAUCAUCGACUGAUGUUUGGCACAGCUUCCUCCCUCUUGGGUGGGCAAGCAUUUGGAAGAGAAGGCUCCUA
rnacentral:lncRNA from 1 species